UACGAAGGGUGCAAACGUUGCUCGGAAUCAUUGGGCGUAAAGCGCACGUAGGCGGCUUGCCAAGUCGGACGUGAAAUCCCUCAGCUCAACUGAGGACGUGCAUCCGAAACUGGCGAGCUUGAGUACUGAAGAGGAUCGCGGAAUUCCCGGUGUAGAGGUGAAAUUCGUAGAUAUCAGGAGGAACACCGGUGGCGAAGGCGGCAUCCUGGACCGGCAUUGACGCUGAGGCGCGAAAGCCAGGGGAGCAAACGGG
rnacentral:rRNA from 1 species